rnacentral:rRNA from 1 species
UACGUAGGGGGCAAGCGUUGUCCGGAAUCAUUGGGCGUAAAGAGCGUGUAGGCGGCCCGGUAAGUCCGUUGUGAAAGUCCAGGGCUCAACCCUGGAAAGCCGAUGGAUACUGCCGGGCUAGAGUUCGGAAGAGGCGAGUGGAAUUCCUGGUGUAGCGGUGGAAUGCGCAGAUAUCAGGAGGAACACCUAUAGCGAAGGCAGCUCGCUGGGACGACACUGACGCUGAGACGCGAAAGCGUGGGGAGCAAACAGG